CCUCCGUGUUUUGGUUGAGACAAACACUUGCAAAGCAUGCUUGGGUUCUGCACUCCCUCUAGUGAUACUUCCCAUUUUCAGGCAGGAAAUGAUGAAGAGGUAGCUGAUCUGCAAGGAAAGCAUGACAAGGAGACAACUGAUGGCAUAAUCAAAAUGGAGGAACCCACAGAUGAAGUAAAGAGUGAAGAUAAAACAGCUGAGACAAAUGACAAACUUGUCAGGGAAAAGAGCAAUGAUCAAGUGGCUGAGUCAGAGAAGUCUGAUGCUGCUGCAAAGGAGUAGGUUGGUGAUAAAGAACUAUUACGGGCAUUUAGAUUCUUCGACAGGAACCGGGUGGGCUACAUCAAGAUAAACACCAUUGAAUGGUUCCUUUUGUCACUCGUCAGUUUAUCAUAAGCAUGUUAUAUAACUGCAGUUGUCAUAAGCUCACUUGGCAGGUUGAAGAUCUGAGGUUGAUUAUUCACAACUUGGGGAAGUUCCUCUCCCACGGGGAUGUAACACGUACAUCAUAGUGUGGCCCCGAAAUACCAUGUAAGUCAUUGCCACACAAUUCGCUUACCACCCCCACAUGCUUCCAACCUCAGGAACCUCAGGAAGCUAGGUGAGGCACGCUAUGAAAUUUUGUGAAAAUUUGAUCCUGUCCAUCCGUUUAUUUGAAGAUCAUGCUAAGACAUGGCCAAGAAUGAGCCAGAUCCAAAACUAAGUGAGCCACAUGAUAGGAAAAAAGUAACUAGGGAAAUAUCUAAGUUGAAAUCUCCCUUACCCACCGUGAUGUUUAUACGCCAUCCCUGGUCAUUUCUGCAGGGAUGAAGUAAAAAUAGAAAAAUAUUUGCCUGGUCGAAAUCAUUCCUUGGGUCAUGCUCUAAAAUAACCUCUUUGGUUGGUGUGGAUAUAACACAU